GAUGAAGGAACGUAGCGAAGUGCGAUAAGUAAUGUGAAUUGCAGAAUUCCGUGAAUCAUCGAAUCUUUGAACGCAAAUUGCACUCUCUGGUAUCCCGGGGAGUAUGCCUGUUUGAGGGUCAGUGUUAAUAAAAAUCGGUGCGUUGCACUUUAUUGUGACGUUCUGGAGUUUGAGUUAUCUUAACUUUUAGGUUAAGAGGCUUAAAAUUGACCUUUUUUUUGUGCAUUUUAGACGUACAUAAAUUUUCUUUUAUUUGUCUUUUAAUGCCAAAAUUAUAUUAGAUGCGACCAUAUCGUGUGGUUUCGUGUCUAUAAAUUUUUCAUGAUUUGACCUCAAAUCAGGUAGGAGUACCCGCUGAACUUAAGCAUAUCAAUAAGCGGAGGA
rnacentral:misc_RNA from 1 species